CAGCAGCCGCGGUAAUACGGAGGGUGCAAGCGUUAAUCGGAAUUACUGGGCGUAAAGCGCACGCAGGCGGUUUGUUAAGUCAGAUGUGAAACCCCCGAGCUUAACUUGGGAACUGCAUUUGAAACUGGCAAGCUAGAGUCUUGUAGAGGGGGGGUAGAAUUCCAGGUGUAGCGGUGAAAUGCGUAGAGAUCUGGAGGAAUACCGGUGGCGAAGGCGGCCCCCUGGACGAAGACUGACGCUCAGGUACGAAAGCGUGGGGAGCAAACAGGAUUAGAUACCCGCGUAGUCCCUGUCUCUUAUU
rnacentral:rRNA from 1 species